GUGUUUGCUUUGACAGCACAUAUACUAAAACUGUAAUGAUACAGAAAAGAUUAGCAUGGCCCCUGUGCAAGGAUGAUGCCCAAAAUUGUGAAAUGUUCCAUAUUUUU